rnacentral:misc_RNA from 1 species
GAAAGCCGCGGUCGGGAAUUACUCAGCUUGUAUACUCGGUAAAGCGUUGAAUUGCUACUAUCAUAGAGGCCCUAAUUACUUAGAAAUCGACGUGGAUAUCGGUAGCUCAGCGAUUGCUAGCGCUAUUUUGCACUUGGCGUUAGGUUCGGUAACGUCGGUGACGAUCGAUAUGGGUUUUCUGGUUGAGUCACAGACGGAGGAAGAGUUGCCGGAAAAGUUAUUUGGGGCAGUUAGGAUUUGUCAAAUGGAGAUGAGCUCUGCUACGUUUAUUGAUACGACGUCGUCAAGGAAGGUAUUACCGACUGCUAAUUUACAUAAUCCUUGCAAUAGUAGCAAAGUCCAAGCUGAGGAGAACGGUGAGAACAAAGAUGAUUAAGAAGAAAUUAAAACAAAAUUACUUCAUAUUAUUCUUAGGGGAAAAAAAUUGUUGGUGCAAUCCAUGUAGAUAGAUGUCUAAGCUUAAGCUUUCAUUGUUCAAUAAAAAGUUCAUCUCUUACUUUUCUUAACUAUCAUUUAAGUUACUUAUAAUUUACUAAUUUU